CUGCUGUUCUGCAUGACUCAGUGGUUUUCGGAGAGGGCCCUGUUGGGCUUUAUUGAGUGAGGCCUUUGCUUAGAGGGGGAUGGGGUAUCAGUGGGACCCGAACUUGUUCCAAAAUCCAUUGGAACAUGGGGCCGGGGGUUCUCGGCGUCGUCUUUUGGGCUUCUCGACGUCGCUGCGUUUUUAUCCUGAGAUCCGUUUUCAUGGAGGAAAUGGAACACCUCCUUUGUUUGGUGCAUUUAGGCUGAUGAAUGUGAAAUUUUUUGCUCGCUUUCCACGCACUCCGUGGAGGUGUGUUUUCGGGGAAGGGUCGGAUUAUCUUUAUUGAUUGAGUGUCUCCUAAGGGAUAGCAUCUAAGGAGAUACCAAGAUAAAGGAACAUAUAGGUCACACAUCCCCGUUCUUAAACCUGGGAUUUAGAUACAGACUUCUAAAAACAUAAACGAAUGUAUUUUAUUCCUUAUUUUUAGGAUUUUUUUUAAAGAGUAGGCUUUCAGAACUCAGUUGGUGAAAAUACUGCAAUUUUAUCUUUGAAGUUUUUUGUUAAAAUGUUUCCCC
rnacentral:lncRNA from 1 species